rnacentral:rRNA from 1 species
UACGUAGGGUGCAAGCGUUGUCCGGAAUUAUUGGGCGUAAAGAGCUCGUAGGCGGUCUGUCGCGUCUGCUGUGAAAACUCGGGGCUUAACCCCGGGCCUGCAGUGGGUACGGGCAGACUAGAGUGCGGUAGGGGAGACUGGAAUUCCUGGUGUAGCGGUGGAAUGCGCAGAUAUCAGGAGGAACACCAAUGGCGAAGGCAGAUCUCUGGGCCGUAACUGACGCUGAGGAGCGAAAGCAUGGGGAGCGAACAGG